rnacentral:misc_RNA from 1 species
GCAAACUUGGUCAUUUAGAGGAAGUAAAAGUCGUAACAAGGUUUCCGUAGGUGAACCUGCGGAAGGAUCAUUAACGAAGUUUUGUUGAAGGGGUUGCUGCUGGCCCAAUACCCUUUGGGCAUGUGCACACCUCGGAGACAUUUAUCCCACUUCAAACCCCUUAUGUGCACCCACAAGAGCAUUUGCAGAACGUCCCUUUUGACCUUCAUCGGUCUAGAGUGGCUUGUAUGCGGUGUUCUACCUUUAUUACAAACCCAAUUCGAGUUAAGUAGAAAGUCUAAUCGCUUCGGCGAAUCAAUGUAAUACAACUUUCAACAACGGAUCUCUUGGCUCUCGCAUCGAUGAAGAACGCAGC